rnacentral:lncRNA from 1 species
GAGGAAAUCAACAAAAGUAGAAUUACCACAUGUCAAUUACUCUGAAGAAGAAGUGCCACCCUACAUAGAGUACCUUAUAUGUAGGGAACACAGAUUAAGGUAUCAAAAGAAACAUCUAUUUGUUUAAGUUGUUUUUAAAAAAAAUCAAGGUUAUAGAUUUGAUAUUGAAAAGAAUCUGUUCAAGAUUGAAAAUUUUUGCUCCUUCCAUUAUGAUAAAACUGGUUGAUCGUUGUAUGUUUUACGGCCAUGUAUUAAGGGAUUAAAAAUUGAUUUUAUUAUAAGAAAUUAGAAACUAGUUUUUAUGACAUCAUACUUUCAUUGUAUUAUGCCUUAUUAUAAAACAUGUCUGUAUGUGUUGUUUUUUUCAUAUUCCAAAGUUUAAAUCCGUUUUGUUUUCUUUAGUUUAGAUGGUUUUGCUUUCAGUUUAUCUUGACGUCAGAGUCACAAAUUUGAAAAAAGUUUGAAUUGAACCACUGAUGGUAAUUCAUUGAUAUUUUUUUUUACAUGUUUGAUAAUUAUUGGCAAUUUUCUAUUUCUAUGGAAAUUAUGUGAACCCGUUUCCACAGUCAUGGCCUUUGACAUAAACAUUUGACAUAGUUAACUUCGUACACAAAAUACCUGACAACAUAUACAUUUCAAUACUGGCACCAUUCUUUUUAUAGGAUUAAAUAAAGGCAACAGUAGUAUACCGCUGUCCAAAACUCAUAAAUCCAUGGACAAAAAAACAAAAUCGGGGUAACAAACCAAAACUGAGGGAAACGCAUUGAAUAUAAGAGGAGAACAACGACACAACACCGAAACGCAACACACACAGAAACGGACCAAUUAAACACAUUUUUAAAGGAGUUGAUUGGUGUUUAAACUCGACUAAUUCACUCACAAACAAAUAAAAGUCCAACAUACUUUUAUGAUAUUUUUGUGAGUGACUUGGUCCAGUUUAUAAACCAAUAAAUACCUUUAAAAAGGCGUUCAAUCCUUAUAAUUCUUUAGAAAUGGUGAUAAGGAAUUGGUUUUCACAAAUUCGUAACCUGUAUCACACGUAAAUUGUAUAUUUGUAUCAUUGAAUUAUCCUGUCUCAUGAAUAUACCUGUUGGUAAGGGCCAAAAUGUGUACCCUCGGAAAUUUCAUAUCUGGAUAUAAAUAAAAAGCAAAAACUCUUGUUAUCAUUGAAAUGAACGUUAUGUGUUUAUUUUUUAAUUGAAUGAUAAACGCGAAAUCGAAAGACAUUUUGUUAACGUCGAGCUGGAUUAUGUCGUUUUCGCCGUAUUCUUCUUUACAUUGGUUACGAAAAGAGGUCUCGAUCAACAUCGUCUAUCAACAACCGGAAGUCCUAUCGGCCAUACAUAUCAUCGUAAUCCCUAAUAUGCAAAUCAUAUAACACUUAUAUAAGGAAUAACUUUUUUGUAUUUUGUAGGGUUUAUUGUAUUUGUUUGUUUUUUGGUUGUUGUUGUGGAGGGGGAAAGGGGGUAUCUUUGAAUAUCUAUUCAUGCUGUUUUAUCUUUUUUCUAUUCUUUAUAUUUGUUGACCAUUGUUAACCAUUUUUAAUAUUUUGUCUAUCACUCUCAAUUCUUUCUGUUUUUUUGCCUAUUAUUCUCUAUUUUCUAUAUUGUUGCCUAUUUUCUAUAUUAUUUAUUAUUAAACAUCCCAUUAUCUCUAUUCUUUCUUGUGUCUGCCUAUUUUUGUCUGUUUUUUUUUUUGUACCCAAUAUCCUGAAAUCUAUAACUCAUGCAUUCCUACUUUAAAGCAACUCUUUUUUUUGUAAUUGAUUGGUAAUGUCCAUAAAUUUUCCUAGCAGGUGUGAUAAGAUUGACAGCCUAGCACGACAGGUUGAUAAAGGUUCAGGUUCAGAACACAGCGUUUUGAAAAAAGUAAGAUCAAUGUGAGAACUACGUGAAUAUGUUUGAGUAUGCUUAUCUUGAUUAUCACUUCAUCGGAUUGCAAGUUAGGACAUAAUUUUAAAUGAAAUGCAUAAUAUUCAAUCAUCAAACACUAUUUUAUGUAGUUAUCACCACUUUUUCACCUGUAAAUCGCCCUUAAAUGAAACAUUAAAUAGUUUUAGGGUUGAACCGAUUUAUUUCGUGUCUAUUAAAUAUUUAUAUCGUUCCUAUGUGAUUAACUGUUGUUAAAUACAGAAAUGUUUGCUGUUGAAGUAAUCAAAAUAAAAGUACAAUUUCAUUUUGUUACACAUUGUCAAGAAUCAGUCCGGUCGACAUUGCGCAUGCGUGAAUUCAGAUACCCUACAUGGAGACAAUCGUUAUAUAGAAGUUAUAUGGAAAAUAAUCUUUAUAAGACGAUAUUCAAUUUUCUUCUUGGUUGUUUUCUUAGCUGUUGUGAUCACCAGAAUCCUUAAUGUGUCUUCUUUUUAAUGAUAUAAAUUAUUUUAAAAUAAUGUUUAAACUUCAUGCAACAAAUUUAGUUUUUCAUACAGUGAUGUCAAAUGGCUUACAUUUGCCGUUAUUCUUACAGAAAAUGCCAUUUUUAGGGAAAGUGGUCAGCUUUGAAAAAAUAAAUAAAAUACUUUUACUGAUGACAUUCCUUAGCUGUUGUGACCAAGAGAAAGAUGAAAAGUUAUAGUUUAAUGUGGUGUAGUUUAUUUUUAAAUUGGUUAUUGUCUCCUUGCACCAAAUUUGAUUUAAAAGUAGGCGAUUUUAAGUUUUUAUUCUAUCAAUUUCUAUUUGACAACAGGAUACAUUGUUUGUGUAAACAGAUAGUAGUAGCCUGUUACACAAUCUUGUUUAUACAGUCAUGCUGAGACAUAAUAAUUCAUGUGAUCAUGGAAGUAAUAUCCAAACGACGUUUUGUAUUAACUUGGUUUAGGGCUGAAGGAAUUACAAAACAAUAAAUAAUAUGAAAUUCACGUUUUUAUUAUUGAAGUUAAUUAUAUAUUCAAAGUUUUGUUUUUGUUUUGUUAUCACGUGCUUAUAACCGAUAUUAAAUAAAGUAUGAGAAUAUGCAAUCGUAAUCUAAAAGUUAACGCAUUGUAUUAAAUAGAUGCACGUUCAACUGAGUGUUUUAUCAAUACACAAUCACAUUUUUUUUGUAAUUAAUGGGAUUAAAUAGUUUCUAUUCAUAUUUGGUAAAAAAAAAAAAAGAGUUCAGCAGUAGCUGUAUGAUGGCAGAUUGUCAAUGAGACAACUCCCCAGUGACUAGUUGCAUUUUAACUGGUCCUUUUUGUCUCUUUUCGUAACAAUACUUGUAUAACCUUUUUAAGGCUAUUUUCUCACGAUUUGAAUACACAAUCAUAAAGGAGAACAAUUCCAUUUCGUCGCACUUUAACAGUGCAUGCAUAAAACAGCAUAUAUAAUACACCACUGAAUUCGACCACUUGAUACGGCAAGUUAAAAUCAGAUAAUAGAUUUUUUCUUCAAAACCAAGUUUCUGUUAUUAAUUUCUUCAACUAAAUAUACGAAUAAUGUGUGCGCACAAUACAUUAGAAAGUUAACCCCUUUUAAGACACGUUUUACCAUAUGAUGAUAUAAAUUUACAUUCGCCGUCAAAAAGAAACUUGUUGAUGACUAAAAUAAUCGAAACUAACAUAUAUAUCUAAAAUACAACAGUAUUCUUGUAUAAAAUGAAAAUAAACUGCUGUUUAUAGAAUUGCCUUGUCAUUUUAUUUUAUCCCAAGCUCUUCAACUGAAUUAAAAUUCAUUGAACCGAAACAAUAUUAAAAAAAGUCAAUAAUUUCUUCACAAAACGAUAAAGAUUGUUAGCUUUGAACAGGUACUUGUAUGACAAUUAACAUGUCAGCUUCAGGCUAUAUACCUGUGGAUACUCGAGGUGGAUAUAUGGUGGAAACGAUGCUGGAAUCUUGUAUUAUUUUAUUAAAAACAGGAAAGGGUCAACAAAUAUGACAUUUCCGAGAUUUUAUUUUCAGACAUGAUUUAAGUGUGUUAAUUGUCAUAACGUAGAUACAAACAAAAUGUAGAAUCUGCUUUUGAAAUGACGCUUUCUCACUAUCUUCGUGCAACCGUAUAAGUUACUGUAUGGCUUUUAUCAAUUAUCUUAACCCAUAUCGUAUAGUAGCUUUAUAACUUCAAUAGAAUUGAGAAUGGAAACGGGAAAUGAGUUAUAAAAAGAGGCAACAACCCGACAAAAGAGCAGAAAACAACCCAUAGUCACCAAUGGGUCUUUAACGCAAAAGGGGGGGGGGAUAUUCAAUACAAUAAUGUUAUAACUAUAUAUAAUUUAGCGAAAAGAACGUCACACAAAACUCCGUAACAUAUAAAAAAAAAUUAAAAAAAACACACACACACAUAAGACUAACAAAAUUUCUGUGUCAUAUUUUCUUGUGAUGUCAUAUUUUUUCUCUGACCUUGUGGAUAAGCAACCAAAACUUAAAUCCGCCUCUGAGAAACGACAACCUCAUAAUAACACAUAAUUUGUUACUGACUUUAUAAAACAAAACUAGAAACCGUGGCAUUCGGCGGGGUUAAAAAAAUGUUUGUGAGUGCUCAAAUUUAUCUGUGGUAUAAAAGCACAACACAAGACCAAACUCUUAAAAUUAGUAGGAAAAUGCUUCCCUGUACAUUAUCUACCAGUACACAUCGAACAUACAUAUGAAAACAAAAAAAAUGUGAUACGAUUGCCAAUAAGACAACUGUCCACCAAAGUUCAAACAAAAAAAGUAAAAUCACAAAAAUACUGAACUCCGAGGAAAAUUCAAAACGAAAAGUCCGUAAUCAAAUGGCAAUAUCAAAUGAUAAAACACAUCAAACGAAUGGAUACAUGUAACAACUGUCAUAUUCCUGACUUGGUAUAGGUGGUCGUAUCUAACUAUAGACAACCGUACGGUCUUUCAACAUUGAGGAAAAAACAUACCGUACGUAUAGUCUGAUAUAAAAGGCCCCAACAUUAAAAAAAAUAUGGAAUUAUUUAAUUGAGAAAACUAACGGCCUCAUUUAUAACAAAAGAAUUUACGAAAAACAAAUCAGAACUCGCGGAAUUGUGCUGUUAUCCUCACUCAAAGCAUAGAAGUAAUAUUACUUCCAUGCUCAAAAUGAGUGUACAUUUAAUAAUUAUUAUAACUGUCAAUGAAUUUUAAAAUUGAAUUAAACUCGGACAGUCAUUCCGAAUUUUGAUGGUACCUGUUAACUUAUAUAUAUACACAUAAAAAAAAAAUAAAGACUCGUAAGACAACGACAUUUCGGCCAAUUGUGUUACUUGAACUAAAAUUUCAAAUACAUUUCAGUCAGUUUGAUGAUCAAUCCAUUUUGAAUAAGAAAAUAUAAUUUAUUUAUAUGCAUUUUUCAUUUACCAAUUUGGGUCAAACAUCUUGCGCCGUUUUAAUGUUUCAACUAGGACUAAGAAGCUAAUUCAGUAGUCCCCGGUUUCAACAAAGAUCGGAACUCCGGUCCCUUCAAUUAAGUUUACAAAUUGAACCAAAAAUUAGAAAACAUGAAUCAAAAUUAUUUUAGCGAUAACAUCUGGUAUUGGUUUUCACUGAGGUUAUCUUACAGACCAGCGGGUGUUCAACCCCUUAAAUGUGCGUCUUAUCGCAAUUGUCAAAUUAUCUAGUAACCCCAUGUGGAGCGAGGAUGUAUUAUCGUCCUUGUCGAUACAAAUAAUUGUUAUCAAAUUGAGUAAUCUCCCUUAAACCGGACAGAUUCUUGGCAAUGAGUUGUUAUGAAUUUAUGAUAGAUUUUUUUCGAAUAAAAAGCUUGGUGGAAUAAUCUAAUACUAUUCUGCACAAGUUUUAACCAAUUUUAACUAUUAAAAGGUAAAUAAAUUCAAUACCUCGCAUUUAUUUAAAUCAUUCACAAUUUCAAGUGUAAUAAAUAGUUAGUUAUAAAUCAGUGAGACAAAUAAAAUGUGUUGAAAUAAAUCCUACGGAGCAAAGAUGAUCAUUAACAUGCCAACAACAAAGAUGUUAAACAUUUUUUUGAUGCAUAAUCGGCUUCCUCGAACGAAAUAUAAUCCUGAAACAAGUAACAUUACUAGAAGUACUAUUAAGAGUGACGAGUCAUUUGGAAAAAAACAACGGGUGAAUAAGUACUUGUAAGGCGACAGUAUAUGUAUUUGACGUUGUUCAUAAUUUAAUCUCGUUAAUCGAUUAAGAAGAGAUACAUCUAUGUAACAAACAACAAUUAAACGCGAGAAUUAUAAAAGCAGCAAAGCAUGCAUCAUCCGAUAUUAGAUUUCACAUAAGGGUGAAAUACCAUUGUCGAUAAAAUGUAUUACAAAUCAGACUAUACUGGUAUCUAAAGAUCAUUCGGUGCAUCUCGCUAGUGAGUUUUGAAACGACACAUGGUAACUGUCAACAAAUUCAUGUUGGUGCCGCCAAUAUUUUGAAGUGUCAAUUUCAUGUCUUCAUAAUUAUCAUGAGAGUAUAAAAUAUGCAAUGGUUUUUUUAUUUGGUUUUUUUUUUUGCGUUUUUCACAUGCUUUUUCUAAAUUUAUUUUUUUAGGUAAAAUCCAUUAAGAAAAAAUUUCUAUCAUAUCUACCACAAAGACACGAAAGAGAGAACAAUGAAUAAGAAACUGUUUAUGCGUGAGCUCAAGGAUAUAGAACAUAUUUUAAAUAGCUUCACAGUUAUUGUGAAAGUGACUAUUCUAGAGGGGGCGAAUAUCAGAUGUGGAUAUUUUAGAGUACAUACAAUCUAAGAUUCUUUCAUCUUGCAAUAAAAAAAACAAUUGACUUUUCUACACUUUACACUUGUAUUCCUCAUUCCAAAC